rnacentral:tRNA from 1 species
GUCAGAGUAGCUCAGUUGGUAGAGCAGAGGACUGAAAAUC